rnacentral:rRNA from 1 species
AUUGAACGCUGGCGGCAGGCCUAACACAUGCAAGUCGAGCGAGCGGCGGACGGGUGAGUAAUGUCUGGGAAACUGCCUGAUGGAGGGGGAUAACUACUGGAAACGGUAGCUAAUACCGCAUACCAUCAGAUGUGCCCAGAUGGGAUUAGCUAGUAGGUGGGGUAACGGCUCACCUAGGCGACGAUCCCUAGCUGGUCUGAGAGGAUGACCAGCCACACUGGAACUGAAACACGGUCCAAACUCCUACGGGAGGGAGCAGUAGGGAAUAUUGCACAAUGGGCGCAAGCCUGAUACAGCCAUGCCGCGUGUGUGAAGAAGGCCUUCGGGUUGUAAAGCACUUUCAGCGGGGAGGCGUUACCCGCAGAAGAAGCAGCGGCUGACUCCGUGCCAGCCGCCGCGGUAAUAC